UUUAAAAAGUUUUUCUGACCCAGAUUUUUGAUAUCCAUAAAAAAAGUAAAGUCAGUAUCUACAUGAGCAGGGUGAAUAACUUUCUCUUUAUCAGUGACAUUUCGCCAGUAGUAGUUUAUUUUGUGCAUCAUGUUUUAUCUUGUUAGAUUUCUGAUUUGAACUAUAACAUUGCCAAAUUUUCAAGUCCGCAGUACCUGUAACUGGAAGGCCACGAGAGGAAAGUAUUCUAUGGUGUCAUGUAUACAUAAGACAAAAGCCGACUUUGUCUCUAGCUUAGUAAGAAACUGGCCACAAACAGUUUUCUAAGUCAACAUGUUAAAUAGAAAUAACCAGCAAAUUUUCAUCUGAAAUGUAUCAUAAGCCAAAGAUUUUUUUUUUUUUUUUUUUUUGGUGGCAGAUGAUGAGUGACUAAGGCAUGAACAGCCUAGGAGUGAGAAAGUAAGACAGAAAAGAGAAAGUGUCAAAGGCUGUUAUCAAGCCAGCUGUGAUUGUGGACAAGUGAAAUGUCUGGAUGAGGAAUUCUGGGAGGCAGAACCCAGCUUGGAGAUUCCCUUUAAUUGAGCCGAAACAGUUGGAAACUUUUCCACCCACUCUACAUGUGUCAUUGGCUGAGAGUUCUUCCAGUGCCCAUGAUGUUCUGGCAGAGCUGGCUUUGCUGAGGCCACCAGAAAAGAACGGCUGGGAGCAGCCUGGCAAGUGCUAUCAAUCAGCUAUCUUGGUCUGUAAGAGGGAUUUCUGACAGUUUAUGGCCUGGGUUCUAACAGUGCUGGCUGCGUAUAUCUUUUAAACCUCUGACUGGCUGCACUGCUGCUACAAACACAAGGUCUAGGAAAAAAAUGUCAUCAUGAUCUUUCUCCUUUAAGUUAGUUCCCAUCAUGUUCUCUAUUUAUGAUUUCCUCCUUUUUGGGGCCUGCAUUUUAUCUUUUAGCAGGAUCAGUUAAGGUACAUCCCAGUAUGAAAUGUAAAGGCUUCAUAAUUUUUUUUUAGGCUUUAUAAUUUUUGAAGACAUAAUUUAGAUGUCUUACUUACUCUGAAGGCAUAGAAGGAUGUACCAGUUCAAUCAUAAUUAUUUUAUGUAAGUUAGCUG
ensembl:lncRNA